UUUUCUUCUGCGUGUUACUACAUCUUUCUCCAGUGGCACUAGUGAAGAAUUGUGUUUUUCCUGUUGCUCCCCAGAGGGUUUUUGAUUUAGAUUUCCAGUUGUUGGACAUCGUUGAACUUUGGACUUUGUAAAAUUUUUCCCUGCAUCCUGCCAUAAUCCUCUCAAUUGGUCUAUACUUCUUGGACAAAAAAUUGAAAUGCCUCCAUUAUGAAAAAAAAUCUUGUCCUCUGCCCACACAGGAGUGUGUAGACAGGCCCAUGGGCUUACAGUUUUGCAAGCCUUGCAGCCCGUGCUUACAAAGUGAGGAGGAAAGCAGGGCGGCUGGCGGCUGCUCGUGUGUGUGUGACGACUGGAGAUAUUGCUCUGACCGCUGCUGUGACAUCUGCUGCCAGAUGUGUGUGAACGUAUGCUCUGGCGUGUGUUCAGGAGACUGCAGCUACACCUUCUGUACCCUCUGCCUCGGCCUGGCGCAGAACUGUGUCUCUGUUAUUCACAACCAACAAGCUGAAACAUCAGAGGCACAACAAGCUAUGAUGUCUCCUGUGCUGCAAGCAAAUGGAACAUGUGACUAACCCCAAAAUAUGCAUUGAUUUAAAGCCCUGUAACUACACCAGGACUGGGUAGAGAAAGUGUAAGAUACAGAAGGCCAAUCAUACUGCAAGAACAGUUUGAUUAGCUGGGACAAGAUACAAGGACGAGGGACACGAGUGAAGGCACCACCGUGCUGUCAGAAGAUAGGUGGUAUUGAGUCCCCACGUGUGAGGAGGGACCUGUUUUAUAAAGUGUUACGUCCCGGCUCCGAGGACGCAACAAAAAACGGGAGAGGAGACGAAGUAUACAAAAUGGCUGUGGAGCUGGAGCAAGCUACGGGCUGCUGUCUAAUGAGGACAGGGUUGAGGAGCACUGAGACCUCGAUAACCAGUAAAGAAAAAGCUGUGUGCAGAGUAAAACUUUAACAAUGGUCCCUACAAUAGGCUCAAGCUUAUCGCUGCUAUCACAGCUGGACAAAGCUUCCCAGAACAAAAGAAGCCUCUUCUGAGCCACACCCAUGAGGGACUACAGACUGUACUCUACAUAACACUUGUGUCACCACUUUUCCAGCCAAAUGCUGCAACUCAUUUCCUGUGGAUGGAUUUAUUUCUAUUUGUGUCUGGAUGUUUGCUUACAAAAAGGACACUUACAAUAUCCAUACUUUUCAGAGACAAACAGGGUUCCCUGAUAUCAACUGAGCUGGAGUGUUGUAUUUUUUAGAAUCUGGGAGAUUAAACUGAAGCGUAGAAAUGGCCUCUUCCUUGCACACAGGCAGUACUUCAAAGCACUCAUUAGAUGUCUGCAAGAUUGUUUUCACUUUCAGGCAAACAAAAAUAUAAUGUGGUUGCACAAAGUGCAUGAUAUGAUAUUUCUUUGUGAGUAAAGGCUGUCUGAGGACACAAGGUGUUAUUUGCUCACAUGGAAUCAGACCUUUUUUAUUAACCUCUAUGAAAUUGCUAGUUUAUGGAAACGUUUAUGGUAGAAUGAUCUGUGACCCAGCAUCAAAAUAAGAUUAGACUAAGGUCUAGUGAGGAUAAAAGUCUUGCACAACAUAGUCUGAUGAGCUGAAUUGUGUCCCCAGCUGUACCCAUCUAUGCUCUUGUUUUCUCCCCCUCACAGUCCCUGUGGACUCUGCACCGCAUUCAGUCAAACUGGAGCAUGUAUCCCUCUCAAACCCAGAGGAUAUGCUGCGUGGCCUAGUUUGCUCCUUGAACUGACCUUAUCCUUCAGAAAGUUUGUUUUGUAAUAUCCGCAGUGAGAGUCUGGAACUAUUUGCGUGUACUCCACUCACCUUGAAUGAUCGAUCGUCUCUGAGUGUGGUUUCAUUUUGUCUUUUUUCUUCCUCUUUGCUUGAAAUCUCCUGAUAGAUGGAAAUUGAAAUUGCGAAGUCUUAAUUUAAUACCUGGAGUCUAGAAGGAGCUCUGAUGUUAACUGAAAUAUUGCUCCCAAAUGUUGCUUUGCGAUCAAUAAA